rnacentral:rRNA from 1 species
CCUACGGGUGGCAGCAGUGAGGAAUAUUGGUCAAUGGACGCAAGCCUGAACCAGCCAAGCCGCGUGCAGGAAGACGGCUCUAUGAGUUGUAAACUGCUUUUGUACGAGGGUAAACGCAGACACGCGUAUCUGUCUGAAAGUAUCGUAAGAAUAAGGAUCGGCUAACUCCGUGCCAGCAGCCGCGGUAAUACGGAGGAUUCAAGCGUUAUCCGGAUUUAUUGGGUUUAAAGGGAGCGUAGGCGGGCUGUGAAGUUAGAGGUGAAAGCCCGAGGCUCAACCUCGGAAUUGCCUCUGAUACUGGUCGGCUUGAGAGUAGUUGCGGUAGGCGGAAUGUAUGGUGUAGCGGUGAAAUGCUUAGAGAUCAGGCAGAACACCGAUUGCGAAGGCAGCUUACCAAGCUACUUCUGACGUUGAGGCACGAAAGCGUGGGGAGCAAACAGGAUUAGAUACCCGGGUAGUC